rnacentral:tRNA from 1 species
GGCCCCGUAGCUCAGAAGGAUAGAGCAGCGGUUUCCUAAACCGUUGGUCGGGGGUUCGAUUCCCUCCGGGGCUA